rnacentral:rRNA from 1 species
GGGAAGAGGGAGGGUCUAGGUUAGGUUCAGUCUUGGCGAGCGGGAGGGCGGGGCCGGAGGUAGAGGUAAGAACGCGUGCAGCCGGUGGAGGGAGGCCGCCUCAAGCUGGGGGUGGGGGUUCGUGGCAACGAGGUGGGAGAGGGCGCGGGUAGGUGUCUAGCUCGCUACCCACUCCGUCUCGGGUCUAGCUAGCGGGACGGCCUUACUCUACGCCGUGGUCUACGGUUAGCCCUGGAGAUAGACCUAGCUCGUCGGCGAGAGGUGGUUGCCCCGAACCCGACCGACCGCAGGGUACAACUGCAGGAGAAGGGAGGGUGAGGGCCGUUGCGCGAGCCAGAGGCGUCGGCCGGAGUGGCGGUCCUAAACGCACCUCUACCGCGCCCACGACCGCCGUGCGCCCCGCGCCGUGGGUGCAGCAGUAUCGGCGGACCUUGGAGCGGCGGCGGCUCUGGUACGCGGUCCGGCAGGACCGGCUCUGGGGACCGCGCUCGCACCUGCACUACCUCGGAAGCAGGCGUUGAAGAAUAAGGAGCCGCACUACCUCGACCUACAACUCGCCCUAGGCAGGCAUCUCGGUAGGGAAAGGGAGGAAGCAGCGGAGGCAGGCGUUGAAGCGUAGGCUGAAGCGACUGUCCCCGGAUGGCGAGUUGUAAGAGGACAUGCGCUUCCGGCGCUCGCGGUUCCGCGUGGAGUGUGCGCCCCGACGGCCGUUCUUCCUGCAUCCGCUCCGGAAGAGGCAGAAGUACCCGCUCAAGGCGUUCCUCAAGUUCGUCUUCUUGGGGUUCUUGUUCAGACAGCGACGACAUCCGUUUCGUCGGCCACCCUCCACCUUCUCGAACUCGCUCAGUUAGUACCACAUGGUCGAAACGUUCCCGCAACGAAAAACGGUGCCUACGCCACAGGCCGUGGUACUGGAACUCGGUGUGUUGGACGUUUAACCACCUACCCAACCAUAGGAGACCAAACUAGGGUCGUUCUCCUUCACAAGGGAAGUGAAAUAGUUGGUUUCCGUGAAAGAAGAGAGUACCUACCUACCCUGAGGUAGUUAAAUCAUAGUCAAAUCCACAAUCAUACGACAAAUACGAACACAACUACGGUACGAAAAACAGAACAGUACACGACUAUAAUUGACCGUCGUAGUCGAGGGUACUAACGAACGAACGAAUGAGAUAUUGGACAUGACGAUUUUGUACAAUAGGAUGAGGUACUACGAUAUAGUAAACGUUUAUGAGAACCUGUAGUCGAGGGUACUACAACGUAAUCGAUAUUAGACAUGACGAUUUUCUCCUCACAUUUGACCUCAUUAAAAAGUCGGUAACAUAAACAAAAGAAAACCCGCCUACGAGAGGUGAACUCAUGUCGACCCAUGACGUAAAGAAAAACGUAAGGAAAAAGUCAGUCACGAACUUGUAAAAAAUUUCUACUUAACCUUAUGAGGACCUGUCGUCAUGUACCUCAUAUCGACAUUGAAGAACGUCAUAUCAACAUCGUCAGGUAAUCCUCAUCAAAACGUAGUCAUCGUAAUCCUCAUUGAAGAACGUCUUUGAGAAACUGUGUAUAACAGUACGUAGUCAUCGUACAAACGAACAAAACCUCGUCGCUAAUUAAUGAACAUUACAAAAAGAACAGACUCGUGUGUGUGAUUUACUUUGAAAAAAUCUAUUAAUAAUAAUUGACUUUGACAAUACAUGUACUUAUAUCAGAUAGAUGUCGAUCAAUGUAUACACCACGUUAACACAUCUUGAUGAUCAUGAUACGAACUCUAAACUAGUAAUUAUCACAUAGAUGUUAACAUGUACAUAUAUCACAUAGACAUCAUGACAUGAGGGAGGCAUUUGAUUAUAUUCUCGCAAAUCUUAUGAUUUCAUCAAUAGAUUUGCGAGAAUAUAAUCAAAUGUCUCCCUCAUUAUAAGAACUCAGAACUAGGUUUGGUAUAAUUAACAACGAUCACUAAAAUAAUAGAUGAAAAACGUAGUAGACUUGUAGAAAAACGACGACGUAUCAAAGAGUGAGUACUAACUAGAUAACGAUCCACUUACUCCAAAAGUUUAUAACUUCCUCCUGUUAUACUUGAUGACAAGACAGAAUAGUAGAUUUGAAGACAAAAUUAAAAGAAACAGCAUCUUAUCAAAACAAACCGUGAAUGACAAGGACCCUACAUUUCUAUACAUAACGAUCUUACUUACCAACAUUAUAUUCGUUAUAAUAUAAAACCCGAGGAUAUUGUAACGUUCAACGAAACUUUUACAUAGUCUUGACCCGAUCCGGGUUCUAUCGAACACCACACUAUAAAAAAAUACAGUUACCGUAUUAUAAAAAAACCUAACCUAGUCAAUAAAGCC